rnacentral:rRNA from 1 species
CCUACGGGCGGCAGCAGUGGGGAAUAUUGGACAAUGGGGGGAACCCUGAUCCAGCCAUGCCGCGUGUGCGAAGAAGGCCCUCGGGUUGUAAAGCACUUUCAGUGAGGAAGAACGCCUGGUGGUUAAUACCCAUCAGGAAAGACAUCACUCACAGAAGAAGCACCGGCUAACUCCGUGCCAGCAGCCGCGGUAAUACGGAGGGUGCGAGCGUUAAUCGGAAUUACUGGGCGUAAAGCGCGCGUAGGUGGCUUGAUAAGCCGGUUGUGAAAGCCCGGGGCUCAACCUGGGAACGGCAUCCGGAACUGUCAAGCUAGAGUGCAGGAGAGGAAGGUAGAAUUCCCGGUGUAGCGGUGAAAUGCGUAGAGAUCGGGAGGAAUACCAGUGGCGAAGGCGGCCUUCUGGACUGACACUGACACUGAGGUGCGAAAGCGUGGGUAGCAAACAGGAUUAGAUACCCUAGUAGUC